ACGGAAGGCAGCAGUGGGGGAUAUUGCACAAUGGGGGGAACCCUGAUGCAGCGACGCCGCGUGAGCUAAGAAGAUCUUCGGAUUGUAAAGCUCUGUCUUAGGGGACGAUAAUGACGGUACCCUGAGAGGAAGCCACGGCUAACUACGUGCCAGCAGCCGCGGUAAUACGUAGGUGGCAAGCGUUGUCCGGAAUUACUGGGUGUAAAGGGAGCGCAGGCGGGUCGACAAGUUGGAAGUGAAAAUUACGGGCUCAACUCGUAAACUGCUUUCAAAACUGCCGAUCUUGAGUGGUGUAGAGGUAGGCGGAAUUCCCGGUGUAGCGGUGGAAUGCGUAGAUAUCGGGAGGAACACCAGUGGCGAAGGCGGCCUACCGGGCACUAACUGACGCUGAGGCUCGAAAGCAUGGGUAGCAAACAGGAUUAGAUACCCUGGUA
rnacentral:rRNA from 1 species